rnacentral:lncRNA from 7 species
AACAUAGAGACUGCUCUGCCAUCAGCCACCCCUGCUGCUCAGCAGAGCCAGCUCCAAGGCUUUGGCUAACCAAGCCCAGCUUUGUUCUACAGCUGUUCUUCUGAUCUCGUUUGAAGAAGUGACAGAACACAUCUGAGCUCAGAGUGAAGCCAUGGUGACAACAGGAGCACACUGCACCUCCGCUGCCUGGCAUGAAAGUCCUGAUGUCCACAGCUCCCAGGGAUGAGUUCCAUCGGCUUCUGCAGAGACAUCUCUGAGCUAUCUGUGCAAGAGGAAACUCCACACCUUCAGCAAGAGAAAAGGAAAAGGCAAAUGGAAUGAGUUUGGUGUGAAUGUAGGAGGUGAUAAAUGAGCAGAGAAGCAAGUCAGCAAAAGGAAGAAGGCUGAUCCAGUGCAAUGCUGUGUACAGAGUUGUGUCAUGUGGCUUCCUCAUUUACACCACGCAGACAUCACUGCAGCCAUUGCUCUGCUCAGGAACCUCGCCUCCCCUCUGUGGGACGAUGAAUGUCCACAAUCUUGGGAGCAAAAGUCACCUUCUGUGCCCAGAGCUGUGAGAUGGAGUGCACCCAGGCCUGUACAAAAUGUGUAACUUCCUCCAGCACUUCUGCUGCAGAGAUUGGCAGAUCGCUGAGUGCCAGUGCUGGAGUUAGCACUGCUUAUCUGCACCUCAUUUCCACUGAAUCCUGCGUGGGGAACUUCCUAACUCCUGAACUCCUGCUAUGAAGCCACAGCCCCACCAUCUUAUAAGAGCAUCAGGAAAAAAUAAGGUCUGCUCCUCUGGGACUUAAUGAGGGGACACCAUUUCCACCAUAGCCUGGUUAAAUGAGCUGAACUGCUGCCCUAACUGAAGGAGGGCAGCAUUCACGUUGGCGGCUUGUGGCAUUCUCACCUCACCAGGAGAUGCCACUUUAACUGCCAUGGCUCUGAGCUCUGCUGAGCCUGGUGUCAGCACGCCUUGCUGGAUGCAGAUGACUGCAAGGGUUUAACGCUCACUUCCUCACUCCUCUAACAAAAAACUUCUGUGAUUACUGACUACAAAAAUUGUUUCAAGAAUUUUAUUCU